UCCAAUGUUUCCACAAUUUCUAGGCUUCUUUCAAACACUGCACUCCAAAGUUUCUGAUUAUAACUCCUUCUUUGUCCUCACUCUUCAUCCAAUCCUUUCUUUCAACCCUUCCAUAAUAAGAGCAUCAAUUAAAGCCUGUAAUAAUCACGAAUCUUCCAACACACCGGAAAAGCUACACUACUUUUUCUCCCCACCACUUUCAAAAUUUUCCCUCACUAUUUCAAACUUUGCAUACCCUCUUCUCUUCUCUUCUCUUCUCUUCUCU
rnacentral:lncRNA from 1 species